rnacentral:lncRNA from 1 species
UGCCAGUUCCUGUGUUUAGGUGAGUUCACCAAAUAGCAGCACAGCACAGAUUGUCCUGUGGACCAGAGGGAAGACAGGAAAGCCAGCCAUUCUCCUUCAGCCAGCUCUUUAAAGGCCUCCUACCAGCAAAAUCAUUUAUUUUAGGGUCACUCCAUCCCAGCAUUAAAAAUACCACACUUUAAGCCAGGGGUCAGCAAACUCUUUCUGUCUGGGGCCAGACAGUAAAUAUUUUAGGCUUGGAGGACCAUAUGGUCUCAAAUGCAGCAACUCAACUGGGCCCUGGUAGCUCAAAGGCAGCCACAGAUAAUAUGCAAACGAACGAGCAUGGCUGUGAUCCAAUAUGUAUAGACACAGAAAUUUGAAUUUCAUGUGAUUUUCAUGUGUUGUGAAAUUAUUCUUCUUUGAUUUUUUUUUUUUUUUCAUUUAGAACCUUUCUUAGUUCACAGGCUGCAGAAAAACAGGCAUCAGGCUGGGCUUGGCUUUAAGCAAACCCCAAAGCAGAAGGUUGGGUCUUCUUAAAUGCAAAUAAGAGCAGAAGAAUUUGCUUUAUAGGAGAAUUUUCCUUGGUGGUCUAAACAGAGGGUUCGAUGAAUGCAGUUAAAGAGAGAUGUAAUGGUUACUUCUUCCCACAGUUUUCUUUUUUUCCUUUCUACAUAUUUUUGCCUUUAGUGUAUUUCAAAGUGACAUUUGCACCUUAGACUAGAAAAUUCAUGAACAUCAUUUUGGAUAGAUCAGAACAGAAC